CCAAUACCUAGCCUUCAAUGAUUGAGAGCAUGCGAGUUACCACUGAGCAACGUUCCCGUAAAGAAGAUUUAGUGUGCCACGAACCUAGAGGAGCGGAGAUAUAUGGUGAACCCUAGACAUUUCUUGCACAGGAAGCAACCGAGAUCCCUUUCUGAUCCAAUCUGCCUUCGCGGACAUGCGACCCGCUGUCAAUCUGCUUCACUGCUCCGAUCCAUUCUCCAUCUCCGAUUGAUUGCUACAUUCUCUUCUGAUAUGCUCUGCUCGUCUCAAUCCAUUCGCAACAUCUGAUUGAACGCUUCUCUAUUUACUUUGUAGUUUAUCUUCAGAUUAUUAAUCUUAUUAUUAUAUUGGUUUUACAA